rnacentral:rRNA from 1 species
UACGUAGGUGGCAAGCGUUGUCCGGAAUUAUUGGGCGUAAAGCGCGCGCAGGCGGUCCCUUAAGUCUGAUGUGAAAUCCCACGGCUCAACCGUGGAAGGUCAUUGGAAACUGGGGGACUUGAGUACAGAAGAGGAAAGCGGAAUUCCAAGUGUAGCGGUGAAAUGCGUAGAGAUUUGGAGGAACACCAGUGGCGAAGGCGGCUUUCUGGUCUGUAACUGACGCUGAGGCGCGAAAGCGUGGGGAGCGAACAGG